rnacentral:rRNA from 1 species
CUACGGGACGCACCAGUGAGGAAUAUUGCACAAUGGGGGGAACCCUGAUGCAGCAACGCCGCGUGGAGGAUGACGCAUUUCGGUGUGUAAACUCCUUUUAUAUGUCAAGAAAAUGACGGUAGCAUAUGAAUAAGCACCGGCUAACUCCGUGCCAGCAGCCGCGGUAAUACGGGAGGGUGCAAGCGUUAACUCGGAAUCACUGGGCGUAAAGGACGCGUAGGCGGGUUGGAAAGUCAGGUGUGAAAUCCUACAGCUUAACUGUAGAACUGCACUUGAAACUUCUAAUCUAGAGUAUGGGAGGGGGAGAUGGAAUUAGUGGUGUAGGGGUAAAAUCCGUAGAUAUCACUAGGAAUACCUAAAGCGAAGGCGAUCUCCUGGAACAUUACUGACGCUAAGGCGUGAAAGCGUGGGGAGCAAACAGGAUUAGAUACCCCCGUAGUC